GUUAAAAGCAAGAUGGAGUUGGUUAGGUCAGAUCUCUUUCACUGUAAUACUUUUCUCAGUUAUAAUUUUACAACAACGGUUUCAUUAUUAUUUCUACAAACCAAGACAAAAUUUAUUUUAAAAGUCAAUGUCAUUCCACCCCACUACACUAACCUGAGUCAUAACAGAGCUCUCUAAAUUAGUCAUCUGUGUACACAUGGACUUUGGUUUUUAACGCAUAUUGGAAAUGUCAUUUCCUUUAUUCAUCUUUUGAACUGACCCCAUAAAAUUCUUCAUAUCAAACAGUUCUCAACCACGUGGGCUAACAAAUCAAAGCGGAAAGUAAAAUAAUGGUCACGUUCAAUCAUUUAUUUGGCCCAUGUGAUUAAAAUAAGUAUUAUAAGCCCUGGAUUUAUAUAGCCUUUAAACUUUUAGACAGAACUUUCACAUACAUUUUCCUGUAAGCUUAUUGGACAGGUAUUGCUAUGCCAGUUGGAAAGAUUCAGAAACAAGGCACAAAUAAGUAAAUAUUUUAGAUCAAACAGUAUCAGAAAGCAUUUGUGUUUAAUUUUCAAAAAACAAAUACAGUUGAUUCUCACAAUUCAUGGUAGUUAUGUUCUAUAAAGUCACCACAAACACUGAAUUACCAAAUAAUUCUCCUAGGGGAAACACAGAGUUAUACGUUCCUGCAAGACCCGGUCACAUUUUUAUCAACUAAUCACGAUAUAACCCUUUUUUGUGUGUGUUUCUGUAUAAAGACACCUUAUUUCUUAUUUAACGUACAUUGUUGAUUUAUCAACAUUGAACUCAUGGUUAACAGCCCUGUAACUCAUGCCUAAAUAAAGCUUAUCUAACACUUGUAUUUUCCCUGGAAGUUAUGUCACACAGCCUUUUUGUGCCUAGGAACACUGAACAGCACGCAGCACUCUGCUGGGGAGCCAUUUUAAACAGUAAAAUCACCAACAAAAAGCACAACGAUGCAAAAAAGUGACACAAAAAGGACUCUGUUUAUGUUAUGAGAACUGGUUAUGUUCUAAAUGUUUGUGUCCCUCCAAAAUUCAUACACUGAAAACCUGACCCCCAAGGAGGUGGCAUUGGGGGGGGGCCUUUGGGAAGUGUAUUAGUCCGUUCUUGCAUUGCUAUAAACAAAUACCUGAGACUGGGUAAUUUAUAAAGAAAAGAGGUUUAAUUCGCUCACAAAUCUGCGGGUUCUACAGGAAACAUAGCAACUCGUGAUUCUAGGGAGGCCUCAGGAAACUUACAAUCACAGUGGCAGGCAAAGGGGAAGCAGGCACGUCUUACGUGUUGGCAGCAGGAACAAGAGGCAGAGGGGAUGCUACACACUUUUAAACAACCGUAUUUCAUGAGAACUCGCUCACUAUCAGGAGAACAGCACCAACAGGGAUAGUAUAAAACCGUCAUGGGAAUUCUGCCCCCAUGAUCCAGUCACCUUCCAACAGGCCCCACCUCCAACAUUGGGGAUUACAAUUCCACAUGAGAUUUGGGCAAGGACACAGAUCCAAACCAUAUCAGAAGAUGACUAGAUCAUGAGAUCACAGCCCUCCUGAAUGGGGUUAGUGCCCUACUAUAAGGUGAUUCUGUAAGUGGUACUCCAGAGAAUUAUCUUGUCUCUUCCACCAUGUAAGGACACAGUGAGAAGAUGGAGCCAAUGAACCAAGAAGCAGGCUCUCCCCAGACACUGUAUGUGUCACUGGCUUGAUCUUGGACUUCCCAGCCUCCAAACCUGUGAGGAAUAAAACAUAAAGCAACUGUCAGAUUCUAAUAAAACAUUCUGAGGAUUACAACAACGAAAAGGCUGCAAAGGCCCAGACCCCUUCCCCUUCAUGGGAAGGACACAGGUUCUCUCUGACUGCAUUUCUGAGAGCAUGGACUUUGUACCCACACCCCCAAGAUGUUCUCAAAGGAAUCAACUGGUUCUAGGGCAGCUUAGCUUGAGAAAGACUAAAUAUUGUAACAUGAUCUUGUUGGGGUACAGAACAUGAUACCCCACAAUAUGGCACUUUGGCAUUCUGAGUACUUUGAAAAUCGAAAGGCCUCAGAAAUUAGCCUCAGAACCAAGGUCUUUCUCUGAUCUCCCCCACUCCCCCCAACCCUCUCUCUGAUCCUCUGUCUCUCCCAAAGUACAGAAUGAAGCUGUUUUCUGAAGUUCCCUGCUCCACCUAGAAACUGAACCCCAAAGAGGAACACAAUUGCUUUUGAUCCCUUCCCUGAAAUUUCAUUAACCAGAGACAAUCAAAACUCCUAUCACAGAGGAAGACUGAAAAUUAAGUAACACUCCUACAGCCCAAACUUUCUCCUAAACCAUUGUUUGUCCUCUGGUCCCAUUCAACUCCCAAAGAGAAUUAUUUACUUACCAUUGUCUGAGCACUGGGUCCAUUCUUUCCCCCUAAAAGUUAUUCACCCCUGCAGUCCCCAUUUCCUCUUCCUAUACAAAGUAAGGAAUAUAAGUAUCUGAACCCCACUGGGUUACUGGAUUAUCAUUCUUCUGCAAUUUCCUUGUGCUGU
rnacentral:lncRNA from 1 species